UACGUAGGGGGCAAGCGUUGUCCGGAUUUAUUGGGCGUAAAGAGCGUGUAGGCGGCUUUACAGCUCCGUUGUGAAAACUCGAGGCUCAACCUCGAGACGCCGGUGGAAACCGUAAAGCUAGAGUCCGGAAGAGGAGAGUGGAAUUCCUGGUGUAGCGGUGAAAUGCGCAGAUAUCAGGAAGAACACCCGUGGCGAAGGCGGCUCUCUGGGACGGUACUGACGCUGAGACGCGAAAGCGUGGGGAGCGAACAGG
rnacentral:rRNA from 1 species